rnacentral:rRNA from 1 species
GGUGUACUUUUGCAUAAUGGGUCAGCAAGUUAACAUUAGAUGCGAGAAAAUUUCGUAGUUAAACCAAACAUUAAAAUAACGAUUAGNUUUACAUACUGGAUCAGGCAUACAUAAACAGUACCGAACGGGUGAUUGUGGCAAAAAUCUCCGAAGAAUCGUGGUAGGUAUAGUGAAAGACAAUACUGACUAGGAUAGCUGGUUUUCUACGAAACAUA